rnacentral:rRNA from 1 species
GAUGAACGCUGGCGGCGUGCCUAAUACAUGCAAGUCGAGCGAACGGACGAGAAGCUUGCUUCUCUGAUGUUAGCGGCGGACGGGUGAGUAACACGUGGAUAACCUACCUAUAAGACUGGGAUAACUUCGGGAAACCGUAGCUAAUACCGGAUGAUAUUUUGAACCGCAUGGUUCAAAAGUGAAAGACGGUCUUGCUGUCACUUAUAGAUGGAUCCGCGCUGCAUUAGCUAGUUGGUAAGGUAACGGCUUACCGAGGCAACGAUGCAUAGCCGACCUGAGAGGGUGAUCGGCCACACUGGAACUGAGACACGGUCCAGACUCCUACGGGAGGCAGCAGUAGGGAAUCUUCCGCAAUGGGCGAAAGCCUGACGGAGCAACGCCGCGUGAGUGAUGAAGGUCUUCGGAUCGUAAAACUCUGUUAUUAGGGAAGAACAUAUGUGUAAGUAACUGUGCACAUCUUGACGGUACCUAAUCAGAAAGCCACGGCUAACUACGUG